rnacentral:misc_RNA from 1 species
GAUGAAGAACGUAGUGAGAUGCGAUACUUGGUGUGAAUUGCAGAAUCCCGUGAACCAUCGAGUCUUUGAACGCAAGUUGCGCCCGAAGCCAUUAGGCCGAGGGCACGCCUGCCUGGGCGUCACACGUCGUUGCCCCCCCAUCUACUCCUUCGGGAUUGCGGGGGGCGGAUGAUGGCCUCCCGUGCGCCUUGUCGCGCGGUUGGCAUAAAUGCCAAGUCCUCGGCGACGCACGCCACGACAAUCGGUGGUUGCGAAACCUCGGUUGCCCGUCGUGUGCGGUCGUCGCGCAUCGAGGGCUCGAAAAAAUUGUCGGGCUCCGGCUCGGCUUUCAACGCGACCCCAGGUCAGGCGGGGUUACCCGCUGAAUUUAAGCAUAUCAAUAAGCGGAGGA